rnacentral:rRNA from 1 species
AUACAGAGAGUGCAAGCGUUAAUCGGAAUUACUGGGCGUAAAGCGCGCGUAGGUGGAUACUUCAGUCGGAUGUGAAAGCCCUGGGCUUAACCUGGGAACUGCAUUCGAUACUGGGUGUCUAGAGUAUAGUAGAGGGAAGUGGAAUUUCUGGUGUAGCGGUGAAAUGCGUAGAUAUCGGAAGGAACACCAGUGGCGAAGGCGGCUUCCUGGACUAAUACUGACACUGAGGUGCGAAAGCGUGGGGAGCAAACAGGAUUAGAAACCCUAGUAGUCC